UAAGGAAUAAGGGACGCCCAGAGUUGGCAUCCCAUGGUGUCGCCCCUUCUUUCCUAUAAAUAGAGGGUGCUACACCUAUUUUUGUGUGCCAAUUUGGGCUGAGGAUAGGAUUGAGAAUGAAGAGAAAAAGAGAGGAAAAAUCUAGGAUAAAUACAAGGAAAAAAGAGAAAAAAAAUAGAAAGGAAGGGAUGAGAAAAUAGGAAAGCAUGAGAUGCUUGUCCUAAAAUUAGGUUAUUCAUGUGUUGAACACUAAAUCUAAUUUUUGUGUGGUGAGAUCAUUUGAGGAAAGGUUCCUAGAGUGGUCC
rnacentral:lncRNA from 1 species